CCCUUAGAGUUUGAUCCUGGCUCAGGACGAACGCUGGCGGCGCGCCUAACACAUGCAAGUCGAACGAGCGAGAGAGAGCUUGCUUUCUCGAGCGAGUGGCGAACGGGUGAGUAACGCGUGAGGAACCUGCCUCAAAGAGGGGGACAACAGUUGGAAACGACUGCUAAUACCGCAUAAGCCCACGGGUCGGCAUCGACCAGAGGGAAAAGGAGCAAUCCGCUUUGAGAUGGCCUCGCGUCCGAUUAGCUAGUUGGUGAGGUAACGGCCCACCAAGGCAACGAUCGGUAGCCGGACUGAGAGGUUGAACGGCCACAUUGGGACUGAGACACGGCCCAGACUCCUACGGGAGGCAGCAGUGGGGAAUAUUGCACAAUGGGGGAAACCCUGAUGCAGCGACGCCGCGUGGAGGAAGAAGGUCUUCGGAUUGUAAACUCCUGUUGUGAGGAAGAUAAUGACGGUACUCAACAAGGAAGGACGGCUAUUACGGU
rnacentral:rRNA from 1 species